rnacentral:misc_RNA from 1 species
AAGAAAUGAACCUUGAGACUGUCGCUGGCCCCUCCUGCAGAUGGAGUUGGCAUGUGCACGUCUCUGGUCAUUACCAAUUCCACCUGUGCACACUUGUAGACACUUGGGAAUGAGAGACAUAGGCUGCUUGGCUGGUCUCUUGAGAGAGAGAAAUGGAAAAAAUCUGGGUGUCUAUGCCAUUUUUAUUAAACACUAGUUGCAUGUUUAUAGAAUGAAUGAUGAUUUGAUUGAAUAUGAAAUA